UCUCAGGCCUAACACAUGCAAGUCGAACGGUAACAGGUCUUCGGACGCUGACGAGUGGCGAACGGGUGAGUAAUACAUCGGAACGUGCCCAGUCGUGGGGGAUAACUACUCGAAAGAGUAGCUAAUACCGCAUACGAUCUGAGGAUGAAAGCGGGGGACCUUCGGGCCUCGCGCGAUUGGAGCGGCCGAUGGCAGAUUAGGUAGUUGGUGGGAUAAAAGCUUACCAAGCCGACGAUCUGUAGCUGGUCUGAGAGGACGACCAGCCACACUGGGACUGAGACACGGCCCAGACUCCUACGGGAGGCAGCAGUGGGGAAUUUUGGACAAUGGGCGAAAGCCUGAUCCAGCAAUGCCGCGUGCAGGAUGAAGGCCUUCGGGUUGUAAACUGCUUUUGUACGGAACGAAAAAGCUUCC
rnacentral:rRNA from 1 species